AGUGGCAGAGUGAGGGAAGGAAGGGAUGACUGGUGACAGAGUGAGAGAGGGGGUGACUAGUGACAGAGUGAAAGAGGGGGUGACUGUCACUAGUCAUCCCAUCCCUCACUCUUUCACUAGUCACCCCCUCUCUCACUCUGUCACUAGUCACCCCCUCUCUCACUCUGUCACUAGUCACCCCCUUCCCUCUCUCUGUCACUCCCUCACUCUGUCACUAAGGA